CUAACUCAGGAUUUCCCUAGUAACGGCGAGCGAACCGGAAAGAGCCCAGCUUGAAAAUCGCGGCGCUCCGCGCCCCGAAUUGUAGUCUGGAGAAGCUCCCUCUGCGGCGCACCGGGCCCAAGUCCCCUGGAAAGGGGCGUCAGAGAGGGUGAGAACCCCGUCGAGCCCGGAGCGCGCCGCUCCACGAGGAGCUGUCGGCGAGUCGGGCUGUUUGGGAAUGCAGCCCUAAGCGGGAGGUAAAUUCCUUCCAAGGCUAAAUAUGGGCAAGAGACCGAUAGCGAACAAGUACCGCGAGGGAAAGAUGAAAAGGACUUUGAAAAGAGAGUUAAAAAGUGCUUGAAAUUGCUGGGAGGGAAGCGAAUGGAAGCUGCGGGUGCGCCCCGGUUGGAUGUGGAACGGCCGUCAGAAAGCUGGUCCGCCGCUCAACGCGGGGCGCUGGUCAGCGUGGGCCUCCGCGCCGGGACAAGAGCGGGACUUCGCGUCCCGUCCAUGCCGGUGCGGGGGCCGAGGAACGAAGCGCGCGCCUCCUUCUGGCUGGCGUGGGGCCCGCCCCAACUGCGCGCUCGAGACGCUGGCGUAUUGAGCUCUUCAUCCGACCCGUCUUGAAACACGGACCAAGGAGUCUAACAUGUAUGCGAGCCGGUGGGCGGCAAACCCAUUGAGGCGCAAGUAACCUGACAGGUGGGACCCCGACCGCAAGGGAGGGAGCACCAUCGACCGACCGUGAUCUUCUGUGAAAGGUUUGAGUGCGAGCAUACCCGUUGGGACCCGAAAGAUGGUGAACUAUGCCUGAGCAGGGCGAAGCCAGAGGAAACUCUGGUGGAGGCUCGUAGCGAUACUGACGUGCAAAUCGUUCGUCAGACUUGGGUAUAGGGGCGAAAGACUAAUCGAACCAUCUAGUAGCUGGUUCCCUCCGAAGUUUCCCUCAGGAUAGCUGGAGCUCGUGUAAGAGUUUUAUCAGGUAAAGCGAAUGAUUAGAGGCAUCGGGGGUGUAACACCCUCGACCUAUUCUCAAACUUUAAAUAGGUAAGCCGCCGGGGUUGCUUGGUUGAACCCCGGCACAGAAU
rnacentral:rRNA from 1 species